rnacentral:rRNA from 1 species
AUUGAACGCUGGCGGCAGGCUUAACACAUGCAAGUCGAGCGAGCGGCGGACGGGUGAGUAAUGUCUGGGAAACUGCCUGAUGGAGGGGGAUAACUACUGGAAACGGUAGCUAAUACCGCAUACCAUCAGAUGUGCCCCGAUGGGAUUUGCUAGUGGGUGGGGUAAUGGCUCACCUAGGCGACGAUCCCUAGCUGGUCUGAGAGGAGGGCCAGCCACCCUGGAGCUGAGACCCGGUCCAUACUCCUACGGGAGGCAGCAGUGGGGAAUGUUGCACAAUGGGGGCAAGCCUUAUGCAGCCAUGCCGCGUGUGUGAAGAAGGCCUUCGGGUUGUAAAGCACUUUCAGCGAGGAGGCGUUACUCGCAGAAGAAGCACCGGCUAACUCCGUGCCAGCCGCCGCGGUAAUAC